rnacentral:rRNA from 1 species
UACGUAGGGGGCGAGCGUUGUCCGGAUUUAUUGGGCGUAAAGAGCGUGUAGGCGGCCGUAUAGGUCCGUUGUGAAAACUGGAGGCUUAACCUCCAGCGGUCGAUGGAAACCAUCUGGCUAGAGUCCGGAAGAGGAGAGUGGAAUUCCUGGUGUAGCGGUGAAAUGCGCAGAUAUCAGGAAGAACACCCGUGGCGAAGGCGGCUCUCUGGGACGGUACUGACGCUGAGACGCGAAAGCGUGGGGAGCGAACAGG